rnacentral:rRNA from 1 species
GACGAACGCUGGCGGCGUGCCUAACACAUGCAAGUCGAGCGAAUGAAGUUCCUUCGGGAACGGAUUUAGCGGCGGACGGGUGAGUAACACGUGGGCAACUUGCCUCAUAGAGGGGAAUAGCCUUCCGAAAGGAAGAUUAAUACCGCAUAAGAUUGUAGCUUCGCAUGAAGCAGCAAUUAAAGGAGCAAUCCGCUAUGAGAUGGGCCCGCGGCGCAUUAGCUAGUUGGUGAGGUAACGGCUCACCAAGGCGACGAUGCGUAGCCGACCUGAGAGGGUGAUCGGCCACAUUGGGACUGAGACACGGCCCAGACUCCUACGGGAGGCAGCAGUGGGGAAUAUUGCACAAUGGGGGAAACCCUGAUGCAGCAACGCCGCGUGAGUGAUGACGGUCUUCGGAUUGUAAAGCUCUGUCUUCAGGGACGAUAAUGACGGUACCUGAGGAGGAAGCCACGGCUGACUACGUGCCAGCCGCCGCCGUAA